rnacentral:rRNA from 1 species
GACGAACGCUGGCGGCGUGCUUAACACAUGCAAGUCGAACGGAAAGGCCCUGCUCUUGUGGGGUGCUCGAGUGGCGAACGGGUGAGUAACACGUGAGUAACCUGCCCUUGACUUUGGGAUAACUUCAGGAAACUGGGGCUAAUACCGGAUAGGAGCUCCUGCUGCAUGGUGGGGGUUGGAAAGUUUCGGCGGUUGGGGAUGGACUCGCGGCUUAUCAGCUUGUUGGUGGGGUAGUGGCUUACCAAGGCUUUGACGGGUAGCCGGCCUGGGAGGGUGACCGGCCACAUUGGUACUGAGAUACGGCCCAGACUCCUACGGGAGGCAGCAGUGGGGAAUAUUGCACAAUGGGCGGAAGCCUGAUGCAGCAACGCCGCGUGCGGGAUGACGGCCUUCGGGCUGUAAACCGCUUUCGCCUGUGACGAAGCGUGAGUGACGGUAAUGGGUAAAGAAGCACCGGCUAACUACGUG